GACGAACGCUGGCGGCGUGCUUAACACAUGCAAGUCGAACGGAAAGGCCCUGCUUUUGUGGGGUGCUCGAGUGGCGAACGGGUGAGUAACACGUGAGUAACCUGCCCUUGACUUUGGGAUAACUUCAGGAAACUUGGGCUAAUACCGGAUAGGAGCUCCUGCUGCAUGGUGGGGGUUGGAAAGUUUCGGCGGUUGGGGAUGGACUCGCGGCUUAUCAGCUUGUUGGUGGGGGAGUGGCUUACCAAGGCUUUGACGGGUAGCCGGCCUGAGAGGGUGACCGGCCACAUUGGGACUGAGAUACGGCCCAGACUCCUACGGGAGGCAGCAGUGGGGAAUAUUGCACAAUGGGCGGAAGCCUGAUGCAGCAACGCCGCGUGCGGGAUGACGGCCUUCGGGUUGUAAACCGCUUUCGCCUGUGACGAAGCGUGAGUGACGGUAAUGGGUAAAGAAGCACCGGCUAACUACGUG
rnacentral:rRNA from 1 species